rnacentral:rRNA from 2 species
UUAGGUGGCUUUAGCGCAGGGGUCCCACCUCUUCCCAUUCCGAACAGAGAAGUUAAGCCCUGCUGCGCCGAUGGUACUGGUUAUUCCGGGAGAGUAGGUCGCCGCCGUUU